GACGAACGCUGGCGGCGUGCUUAACACAUGCAAGUCGAACGGAAAGGCCUGCUUUCCCUUGUGGAUUGCGGGUACUCGAGUGGCGAACGGGUGAGUAACACGUGAGUGAUCUGCCCCCAACUUGGGUAUAAGCCUGGGAAACUGGGUCUAAUUCCCGAUAGGACUGCAGGGUGGUGCCUGUGGUGGAAAACGUUUUCUAGUGGUUGGGGAUGAGCUCGCGGCCUAUCAGCUUGUUGGUGGGGUAAUGGCCUACCAAGGCGGCGACGGGUAGCCGGCCUGAGAGGGUGGACGGCCACAUUGGGACUGAGAUACGGCCCAG
rnacentral:rRNA from 1 species